AACGAACGCUGGCGGCAUGCCUAACACAUGCAAGUCGAACGAUACCUUCGGGUCUAGUGGCGCACGGGUGCGUAACGCGUGGGAACCUGCUCUUAGGUUCGGAAUAACUCCCUGAAAGGGGUGCUAAUACCGGAUAAUAUCUUCGUACCAAAGAUUUAUCGCAGUUGGAUGGGCCCGCGUUGGAUUAGCUAGUUGGUAGGGUAAAAGCCUAUCAAGGCGACGAUCCAUAGCUGGUCUGAGAGGAUGAUCAGCCACACUGGGACUGAGACACGGCCCAGACUCCUACGGGAGGCAGCAGUGGGGAAUAUUGGACAAUGGGCGAAAGCCUGAUGCAGCAAUGCCGCGUGAGUGAUGAAGGCCUUAGGGUUGUAAAGCUCUUUUACCCGGGAUGAUAAUGACAGUACCGGGAGAAGAAGCUCCGGCUAACUCCGUG
rnacentral:rRNA from 1 species